AGAGAGCUCUUGUAAGUUUGGGCGUCUCAUCUUUCUUAAGUCUCAAGACAGGCUGAAAAGUUCUUUUCUUUUGACAGAAACUAGAAAGCGCUAGUAAGACUUCCAGCCCUCCCUUAGGCGGAGGACUCUGUGAGAGGAGGGUUUGAGGUCACAGAAAGCCAGCUUUGAGGAGGUAGAAGCAAAAUGGGGUCUACUCACAAAGACAGGUUUUCCGAGGUCUUUUGUUUGACAUGGAAAAAUGAGAGAGACACAACAGGUUGGUGGCUGGAAACUGAGUCUGAAUUUAAGACAGCAGCCUCUAGGUGGCGCACACACCGUAAUAAAUACCUUGAAGAGAGGAGAUUUCAUCUGCGAAUGGAGCUUCCCGGCUCACUUCAGAAGCACGGGAGCUUUUUAGACAAGCUACUCCCCACUGCAGCAGAAAGACAACCCCCAAAUCUAAACCCUCUGCAUCCAAUUUAAAGAAGGCAGAGCUUCGAUCAUCUCGAUGACAAUGGAGGGAGGACACCACAUCUACCUAAGGAUCAUGGAGCCAUCAGCUUGGCCUUUUCCGCCAAGAGAGAGAGAGCGCUGGAGGAGAGGCCCCAGGGGAGGCAGAAGAUGCCCACCUGCAGAUGCGUGGAAACAUAUGGGAUCAGCAUCCGCAGCGCUCCUGCUGGUGCACUAAACAGGGGCAUUAACCUAAUGCUGCCAUGGAGGACUUUUGUCUUUUCUCUGGCAGAAGGAGCAGCUCACAUCCAGAGCCAACAAGUUGGAGAAAUGGCUUCUCUUGGCGAUUAGGCCUAAUGGUGGAAUUGUUAGACCGCUACAGCUGCAGGGGGCUUUCCUCUCUCAUCCCGGCUCUCCUCCGUUUGCUGUCCUGGAAACAUUUACUGAUUAUUAAAGAAUCACGUGGGUUUGAUUUUUCUCCAAAUAAAAGACCAAGGGUUAUCAGCCACGUCCUCAGUGUGUGACAGCCCCCUGGGAAGGUUCUGAACAGGAUGAAUUGUCUAAACUGCCUGAAGAUCUGAAGUGGGAGAGGUGGAUUACCUGGUGUCCUCGCCUUGCCCUCUUGGCACUUCCUUGCUCUCUAAGCUCCAUGCAAUUGGUCCCAUCCUUAUUCUCAGCCAAGACCCCUACUUCCAGCACAAGUCCUAUCCUACAGGUAGGAUUCAGUGUCCCGGCUGAGAUGGGGACAAACCUCAUCCCAAAGUCAUGCAAAGAGGGGAGGGUUUAAUCCCCAGCAGUGUAGAGAGGAUCUGCUGCAUGGCA
rnacentral:lncRNA from 1 species